rnacentral:rRNA from 1 species
UAGGGAAUCUUCCACAAUGGGCGCAAGCCUGAUGGAGCAACACCGCGUGAGUGAAGAAGGGUUUCGGCUCGUAAAGCUCUGUUGUUAAAGAAGAACACGUAUGAGAGCAACUGUUCAUACGUUGACGGUAUUUAACCAGAAAGUCACGGCUAACUACGUGCCAGCAGCCGCGGUAAUACGUAGGUGGCAAGCGUUAUCCGGAUUUAUUGGGCGUAAAGAGAGUGCAGGCGGUUUUCUAAGUCUGAUGUGAAAGCCUUCGGCUUAACCGGAGAAGUGCAUCGGAAACUGGAUAACUUGAGUGCAGAAGAGGGUAGUGGAACUCCAUGUGUAGCGGUGGAAUGCGUAGAUAUAUGGAGGAACACCGGUGGCGAAAGCGGCUCUCUGGUCUGUAACUGACGCUGAGGCUCGAAAGCGUGGGGAGCGAACAGGAUUAGAUACCCUGGUAGUCCACGCCGUAAACGAUGAGUGCUAGGUGUUAGACCCUUUCCGGGGUUUAGUGCCGCAGCUAACGCAUUAAGCACUCCGCCUGGGGAGUACGACCGCAAGGUUG